GUCAGUAUGUUCUUCAAGCUGCUCUGCUCCUGGGCCCAAGCUAUUCUCCUGCCUCAGCCUUCCAAGAAGCUGAAACUACAAGAACACAAGACUGUACCUGGCUUGCAAACACCAUUGCUAAUAAGAAGAUAUUGUAAGACUGAUACCUAAGAGAUAAGAGAGUCUCACUCAUUCUGUCGCCCAGGCUGGAGUGCAGUGGCGUGAUCUCAGCUCACUGCAACCUCCACCUCCCGGAUUCAAGCGAUUCUCCUGCCUCAGCCUCCUGAGUAGCUGGGACUACAGGCCCUCCCUCCGUUGCCCAGGUGGGAGUGCAGUGGUGUGAUGUCAGUUCACUGCAACCUUGGCCUCCCGGAUUCAAGCGAUUCUCCUGCCUUAACCUUCCGAACAUGGAUCCCUGAGGUCGGUCCCCAAUACGACAAGACAAUUUGAUAUCAUAAUAGAACACUGCAGAAACAAUGCUGAGUGAAGAAGAGUAGAAAUGGGAAGACUUGGUUGAGCGGAAACUGAGUUCUUGAAAAGAGGAGAUGCUUGAUGAGGGCAUGGAUCCCUGAGGUCUGCCCCAGUACUAUAAGACAAUUUGAUGUAAGAAAACACAGCAGAUAUAAUACUGAGUGAAGAAGAGUAUAAAUGAGAAGAUUGGUUGUGCAGAUACUGAGUUCAUGAAAAGAGGAGAUGAUUGAUGAGGCCAGGUGCGGUGACUCAUGCCUGUAAUCCCUGCACUUUGGGAGGCUGCGGCGGGCGGAUCACCUGAGGUCAGGAGUUCGAGACCAGCCUGGGAGACAGAGCAUGGAAACCUAAGGUCUGUACCCAAAACUACAGGACUAUUUGACAUCAUAAUAAAACACUGCAGAUAUGAUGCUGAGUAAGAGUAGAAAUGGGAAGACUUGGUUGUGCAGUAACUGAGUUCUUGAAAAGAGGAGAUGCUUGAUGAGGGCAUGGAUCACUAAGGUCUGUUCCCAAUACAAGAAGACUCUUUGACAUCAUAAUAAAAUACUGCAGAUACGAUGCUGAGUGAAAAAGAGUAGAAAUGGGAAGACUUGGUUGUGCAGAAACUGAGUUCUUAAAGAGAGGAGAUACUUUAUGAGGGCUGGAGUGCACUGGAGCAAUCCUGGCUGGCCAAUACUGAGUUCUUGAAAACAGGAGAUG
rnacentral:lncRNA from 1 species